GACAGAGGUGGCGAGCGUUGUUCGGAAUUACUGGGUGUAAAGGGUUCGUAGGCGGUGCGGCAAGUUGGGAGUGAAAUCUCUGGGCUUAACCCAGAGGCUGCUUCCAAAACUGCCGUGCUCGAGUGUGGGAGAGGCGCGUGGAAUUGCAGGUGUAGCGGUGAAAUGCGUAGAUAUCUGCAGGAACACCCGUGGCGAAAGCGGCGCGCUGGACCACAACUGACGCUGAGGAACGAAAGCCAGGGGAGCAAACAGG
rnacentral:rRNA from 1 species